UGUGGUGAUCUCACGCUCGUUCUUUACCCACUCCUUCUUCCCCCUCUGGACAACCCUCUUUUCUCCUCCGUCCAACAACUCGGCGAUCUCACCUAGCUCUUCCACUCCUCAUCGCUGUCACUCGGUUGGUUCCAAUAGCUCUUGUUGUUGUUCAUGGAGGCCGGAACUGAGGUACCAACCUCAGCCAGAGAAAUCCGAGGCUCGGACAAAUCUUCAAAGACAGCAAAGGAUUUGGAGAUUGAAGGAUACCCUGUUGGGGGUUUGUCCAUUGGAGGCCAUGAAACAUGUGUACUAUUCCCCACACUUAAAAUAGCCUUUGACAUUGGUCGCUGCCCACCUCGUGCUGUUUCCCAAAACUUCCUUUUGAUCUCCCAUGCUCACAUGGAUCACAUUGGAGGGCUACCCAUGUAUGUUGCCACACGUGGCUUGUAUCGAAUGAAGCCCCCAACAAUUAUUGUACCAAUUUCAGUAAAAGAGGAUGUAGAGAAGCUUUUUGAGAUUCACAGGAAAAUGGAUCAAUCAGAACUUAAGCACAACCUGAUUGGCUUGGAUGUAGGAGAAGAGUUUUAUUUGAGAAAGGAUCUUAAAGUAAAAGCUUUCCGGACUUACCAUGUAAUACCUAGCCAGGGUUAUAUAAUAUAUUCUGUGAAACAGAAACUUAAGCCAGAGUAUAUUGGCCUUUCUGGAAAUGAAAUUAAGAAUUUGAAGUCGUCCGGUGAGGAGAUAACAUACACUUUGACAGAACCAGAAAUUGCCUUCACGGGAGAUACCAUGUCAGAUUUCAUCAUUGAUGAAAAUAACACAGACGUCUUAAGGGCUAAAAUUCUUGUAUUGGAGUGCACCUUUGUUAACGAUUCAAUCACCGUGGAACAUGCCAGAGAUUAUGGACACACGCAUCUGUCUGAGAUAAUAAGUCAUGCAGAGAGGUUACAGAACAGAGCAAUCCUUUUAAUUCACUUCUCAGCACGUUACACCGUAGAGGUUGGUAUAGCUUCCCGUGUUUCAGUAUAGGAAGUUCCGUCCUGUUUGAUGUGAAAUAGGUGCCACCUUCCAUGUUUCAAGUUAAUAAAAAAAAACGAAAUUCAACAAGCUGUAAGUACAUUGCCUCAUAGUUUAGCCGGUCGAACUUAUGCGCUUACGGAAGGUUUUUGACAAGUUGGGAGAGUUUAAUUGAUACAUACCUGACCCUGGAGGUUUUGCCUACAAACCACCUGAGACUAUUGGACGGGGCUAGAAUUUACAAUCAUCAUAGAUGAUGAAGACAAGGAGAAGUGGACUGCAGAGCAAAAUCCAAUGAUGCAUGGUAUGUUUGGAUUGCCGUUUGAAUCACCAAAAACAUGCAGUUGCACAUUCUUAUAGUGAAAUUUGCAGAAGCAAUAGCAGUUUUUGGUUGAAUAAUAUAAUACCAUGUUUACGUUGGAAUGAACUGUUUUCCAAACAUAGGUUAAACAUCAGUUACCUAUAUUUUUAUCAGGCUGUUUGUAGUAAUUUUUAUUUGCUACCUUUUGAUUCGUUUUAUUCAGUUAAAGGUAAAAGAAAAAAAAAAUUGGAUUUGGUUUGAA